AUAUUGGACAAUGGGCGAAAGCCUGAUCCAGCCAUGCCGCGUGUGUGAAGAAGGUCUNNNGAUUGNAAAGUACUUUAUGUUGGNAGANAGGGUUGUAGGUUAAUACCCUGCAAUUUUGACGUUACCAACAGAAUAUGCUCCUGCUAACUUCGUGCCAGCAGCCGCGGUAAUACGAAUGGUGCAAGCGUUAAUCGGAAUUACUGGGCGUAAAGCGCGCGUAGGUGGUUCGUUAAGUUGGAAGUGAAAGCCCCGGGCUUAACCUGGGAAUUGCUUUCAAAACUGACGAGCUAGAGUACGGUAGAGGGUAGUGGAAUUUCCUGUGUAGCGGUGAAAUGCGUAGAUAUAGGAAGGAACAUCAGUGGCGAAGGCGACUACCUGGACUGAUACUGACACUGAGGUGCGAAAGCGUGGGAAGCAAACAGG
rnacentral:rRNA from 1 species